GAUGAUUUGCUCCUCCACACCUAAAACAUAAUCCCUUCUUCUUUCUCUCCAUAAUCUCAUUAUAAGAUAAUGAGGAGUAUCCCCGAUCCCUUGUGUUAUUAUUUCUCCUUGUGUCAUUCUGAUUGGGCUUAUCUUUCCUAGGCCCAUUUCCACUAUCUUUGGACCCAUCACCAGAUCCAGAUUUCACAAAGACCCAAUCGGCCUUAUCUCUCUGAGACCCAUAACUUCCGGUUCGGUUUGAACCGUGACCCGGUUUAUUAGAUCUAUUUAAACCCGGUCCAUAGUCUUUCUUCGUCUCCCUUUCUACUGCCCUCGUCACCUGUAACACCUUCGAACGCGACAAAUCACCCAUCACCGAAAGACUUCGCACCUUCCCCCGUAUCUCCUCCUUCAAUCCAUGUAAAAAGUAACCCAGAAAUUGCUUAUCAGGCAAUCUAGGUAUUUGAGCAGUGAGAUACUCAAAAUC
rnacentral:lncRNA from 1 species